GCGCUUGCUUCAGUAGCACAUAUACUAAAAUUGAAAAUUCAGAGAAGAUAUAGCAUGGUCCCUGUCCAAAGAUGAUAUGCAAAUUCGUAAAGAGUUUCAUAUAUUU
rnacentral:snRNA from 1 species